AUGGCAGAUAUUGACGGUACAAAUGAAAGUGAUUCACAUGUUGCUAAAGUGACCAGCUUUUGCUGUUUUCUUCUUUACAACAUAAGAAGGAUUCAGCAAUUUCUAUCAACACAGGUUGCUCAGGUGCUUGUUCAGUUACUUGUCAUUUUGAGACUGGACUACUGUAACUCUCUGCUGGCAGGUCUACCUCUAAAUCAGACCUGGGCAUUUUACGGCCCACGGGUCACAUACGGCCCUUUGGGCAUCCCUGUCCGGUCCACGGUGAUGCUAGCCAGCUACCCCUGGGCCCCCCCAAAAAAUGUCGGCUGACAUUAAAAAAAGAAAGGAUGAUUCCGAAUGCUGCGUUUUCAACAAGACAUGGACUGCUAAAUAUUUCUUUACAGAAGUCAAAGGUAAAGCUGUGUGCUUAGUUUGUGGUACACAAGUCACUGUGUUUAAGGAUUACAAUCUGAAUCGCCACUACGUGACCAAACACGAAGAGAAAUAUGAGCUUAUCUGACGAAGAGCAUGCAAAGGAGUCGGAGGCUUUGCUAGCCAAGCUGCAAACUCAACAAACGCUUCUAAGAAAACUUUGCAAAUCCAGAUGAAGAUCCUCUAUAACUGAUGAUCAUCUCUCAGCUGUCCUUCGCAUAGCCACCUCAGACAUUCAGCCAGAUUUCAGUGCACUUGUUCAAACCCAAAACAGACUGGAUUUUUCUUUUUGCUUAUCUUUAACGUACUGCAAAACACCUUUUUUGUAUUUGUGAAAUUUACUGCUUUUUACAAUGGGAGAAAAUGAAUAUUGAGUAGAUUAAUUUCAAGUUAUCAUUGGUUCGGCCCUCCAACACAGUUCAGAUUUUUCAUGUGGCCCCCUAUAGAAAUGAAUUGCCCAGCCCUGCUCUAAAUGCUAUUAGUAGACUGCGAAUUAUCAAAAAAGCAGUUCAACCUGCCUGAGUUCUCACACCGACCCCACUGCUGCCUUUUAAGCAAUGGGUGAAGACCUACCUUUAAAAACAAAAACAAAAAAACAUUUUAAAUAGCACUUUUCCCAGUUUGCUUUGUCUUUGCUUAUUUAACAAAAAAAUCCUCUCAAGAGAGUUUUAGGCUGAGGGGAUCUUAAGUCUGUAAUAUAGUGAACCAAUGUUGAUUUAUUCAUUGAUUGAUUUUUAAAGCACAUUUGUACAUCACUCUGGAUAAGGGCAUCUACUAAAAGCCAAAAAUGUUAUUGGCAUAGGUUACCUCACGUUUAUGCAAUAUACUGUAAAGUUUUUACAGCUUGUAAAAAAAAAUUUCCUUUCAUCAACUCAGGAUAGUGUUCCCAAUUAUGAGUUCCUUCCUCAUUUUUUGUUAUUGCAAAUCAUCAUGUCUGCACACAAGUAUUUGUUUUAUAUCAAUCAACAAGCAAACAUAAUUGCUUGUUAAAUACAAACAAUUGCUUAUUCAUAAAACUGACAAUACUGUUUGCUGUUCAAAGAGAAAAAUGUACAUCAGCUGUAGCUGGCUAGAUUGUUCCUAACAACUGAUAAACAAGGAGACUUUCACCAAGGUCAAAAAUGACGUCAUUCUGACCUGUGAAUUACCUCAAGUGACUGCAGCAUUACAGAAGUGCUUUGUAGUCUCUGAACAAAACACAUCCUCGUGCUAGUUUGCUUAAUCAGGAAAUUAGAAUACCAUUGAGAGAUGUUUGUGAAAAUCAUUUGUAUUAUUUUAUUGGUAUUAAGUAGAAAACAUGAAAAAUAAAGAGCAUUCCAUAAUUUAAGACAUAUUUAACUAGCAUUUAGGACAAAAAAUACACUAUAGAAGCACAGCGUAUGUUGAUCUACAUUGGUUGAGGGAGAUUAAAUGCUCAAUAGAAACUAUUUUUUAUUUUA